rnacentral:tmRNA from 1 species
GGGGGCGAAAUAGGCAUCGACAGAGGAAUGGAUGGGCAGUUCUGCCUGCCGGGGUUGUCAGCACCCCGUUCAAAACUGACAGAACAACAACUGCCAAUACGGCAAACUGCCUGGCUGCCUGAGGGCGGCCACUCACCGGAUGAUUCCGCUCUCGAAUCUUCCACCGUGAGUCGGCAAGAGAGCCCGCGCAGGUCCGGUUUCCCUUCGCCGUCCUGCGGCGGUAUCAAGGAAGGGUGCGCCUUCUGACUCCGGUCCGGAGGGGGAAGGAAGGCAAAGGAGUACGCUCCGGAACACGCAGGUAGACGAACUGCUGGUCCGCCUUCUGGACGCGGGGGCAGUACCCGCCGCCUCCACCA